rnacentral:rRNA from 1 species
AUUGAACGCUGGCGGCAGGCUUAACACAUGCAAGUCGAGCGGAGUGAUGGUGCUUGCACUAUCACUUAGCGGCGGACGGGUGAGUAAUGCUUAGGAAUCUGCCUAUUAGUGGGGGACAACAUCACGAAAGGGAUGCUAAUACCGCAUACGUCCUACGGGAGAAAGCAGGGGAUCACUUGUGACCUUGCGCUAAUAGAUGAGCCUAAGUCGGAUUAGCUAGUUGGUGGGGUAAAGGCCUCCCAAGGCGACGAUCUGUAGCGGGUCUGAGAGGAUGAUCCGCCACACUGGGACUGAGACACCGCCCAGACUCCUACGGGAGGCAGCAGUGGGGCAUAUUGGGCAAUCGGGGGAACCCUGAUCCAGCCAUGCCGCGUGUGUGACGAAGGCCUUAUGGUUGUAAAGCACUUUAAGCGAGGAGGAGGCUCUUUUGGUUAAUACCCAAGAUGAGUGGACGUUACUCGCAGAAUAAGCACCGGCUAACUCUGUGCCAGCCGCCGCGGUAAGAC